AUGAAUGAGCUUUACGCACUUCGUCUUUUAUUGUGAUGCAUAUAUGCACAUUCCUAUAUGUAAAUUGUGAAAUAAAGUUAAGUGAUAAUUUAAAAGUUAAUUAAAUUGUUUUGUAAUUGUGCAAAAACAUGUUUUAAGAAGCUUUUCUUCAAUUCCAGUUCUGCAGGAAUUUUGGUUGCAAGAAUGUGGAUAUAAAACAUUUUUGAGAUUAUCAUUAUAAGCUGCGUUGCAGCUGAUUUUUAGAAAAUUGGAACUUUUUCAGUGGAUAUAUAUUCUUGAUGUAAGUGAAAGAGUUUUCAAGAUAGUUGCAAAAGGAAAUUUUUUAAAAAUUUAUUGGCAAAUAAAUAUUCAUUCAACAUGAACUAGAAAGGCAAAGGAAUUAUUAUUACUCCUUCAAUUGACGACCCUAUUAUGGACCUCUUAUUUUUUCUACACUUCUAUAAUAGCGUGUAAUUUCCUUAAAAUUGUUUUUCGAUUUCUUAUUUAAAUGUAACAACAAUUUGUUUGCAUUUUUUAAGUAUCUAUUUUUUUAACUGAAUUAUUUUUUCAAUUUAACCAAGUUUGUGAUUUAAUUUGCGUAUUUUCAAAAUUAUCUCUGCUCUCUAAAUCUGAAUUGAUCUGAAUAUGUGAAAAUUCACAUUUUUCUAAGUUAUAAGUCGCUCUAUUGUUCAAUAAGUACAUAUACACUUGUAAUAAGUGAAAUUUCCCACAAAAUAAGUGAAAAAUCCACUUAUUUAUAAAUGUAUAUGCACUUAUUAAUAGAGAAGACGACUUAUAACACACACAGUAAAAAGUAAAUAUUAAUUCAAGGCCAGCCUUAAAUUCAGCACUGGCUUCUAUAAUGUUAAAUCAUACAAAAUUCAUGCGUAAAUUCAGCAUUAACUGUCUUAAAAAUGUUGCAUCGUAAUUUAAGACUACUUUGCUGUCUUAAAAUAAUACUUUCUUCUUACUGUGUGUAAUAAGUGAAAUUGCACAUAAUUAUUCAGAUUUAGAGAGUAUGUUUUUAAAAUUGCUAGUCAGUAUUUUUCAACUUCUAUAAUAAAUAACAAUAAAUUCAAUUAAUUUCUUUUAUAACAUUUUUAUAAUUAUUAAUCUUUAAAAAUAUUCAUCUAUUCUUUCUGAUUCCUCAUGGAUCAUACUCGUUAUCGACAAACAAGACAACUAUAAGAACAUAAGGUAAUGCUCAGCUUUGUAAAUCACUACUGUGAAUGUAAAAUAAAUCACAUUGCUAUUCGUACUAAAAAUUAAAGAUAUAUGUAACACUGAAAAAGCAAUAAAGUGGAAGCUUGAUUAUACCAAAAGAAAA